AUAGUUGAUCAAAUGAGGAAAGACUCUCCAACAAACAGAUCCUGAAAACAUUUAAUACCUAGUCUAUUCAACGCUUUAAAAACUACAUCAGUCACAGAAGGUUUAAAAAAUAAUUAGAAAAAAUGGGACUAGAGAGUGAAAAACCAAAUAACCCAAAGAAUUUUCUAAAUUGUAACCAAAUCCACAAAGAAUGUUUAAGUACAAAAUUAUCAGUUAAGUUACUCAAGGAUAAAGGAAUUGAACAACCAAAAAGAGAAAUAAUAGAAAAUUGUUCAUUUUCGCCAGUCCUGUGUAAUUUAUUAUGUAAAUAUUUUAAUUGCAGGUAUUUCCAGUGAAGACUCUAUAAUUAUUAUUGCAUUGAUCUCAGGGCUGGUAUUUUCUUUGGUAUGUCUUGGUGGAUCAUUGCUUCUGUGGUGUUUGGAGAAGAAAUCAAAGUGAGCGUCUUUGAGCUUGGUGAUUUGCAGAGUUCUAUUUCUUGCUGCUACCUUUGUUGCACUUGCCUCAUGGAUUGGGAUUAAAGGUGCCAACUUCAUCCCCACUGUUGCAUUAUGCAUGGUGGGUGUUCAUCUUCUGGCCAUUGUUGCACCCGUUGUCAUAUAGAAGUCCAGCUGCUUGUUUACUGAGGAAUUCCAAGAAAGAUUCUCAUCCUUCCACUUGCCUGAAUGAUACGAUUGUGAUCCUCAUUUUGGUCACUAUUUUGAUGGAGGAGAUUCAGCAAAGCAGUAAGUUUACAACAGUGCUUGCUUACAUGGUAUUGUACAUAAAUUAAUCCCAUAUAUCUUUGCAAUACAGAAGGCCAUUCUGUCCAUAAAGUCAAUUCCAGCUCACAGCGGUGCUAUUUCCAGUCUAAUUCUCCUGCUGGAGUCACAAGGAGAGAGAGAGCAUGGAACGAGACCUUCCGCCCAUCAAGGACUUGUUGAUCAUCAAGCAGCACUGUUUCCCCCCAGCAGUCUUUGUGUCCACCUGCUCAUCACCUCUCCCCUAAUGGCUGCCAUUAUCCCCUUCCUUGCUUAUUUUCCUGCACUGGUUGCAUUUGUGUUAAUGCUUAUUUCCCUCCUCCAUGUCUUCACAUUUACCCUCCUGUCCCACUACCUGGCUACAUCUGCCUCUUCAUUUUCUGUCUGUUUCCGUCUAUCAUUCAUCUGACUGCCAAUGCCAUCCCUCUCUUUCCCUCCCCCCACUUUGCUCAAUCUGCCUUUCAUGCUUCACCCCUCCUUGAUGCAUCAAUCACCAAAUGGCCCCUGUCUCACUUCUUCCCCCUCUCUCCUUUAUACUCAGUAUCUCUUUCAUCCUGAUGCACAGUUUCAAGCAGAAAAGUUGACAGUUCCUUUCCCCUAACAGACUGUUUGCUUCUCUGCAGACUUUUAUAUUCUUAUAGAUAAUCAGCAUCAAGUUUUGUUUGAUAAUGCUUCUAAGAAAUUCUCUGGAAUGGUUUACACAGUAAAAAGCUACAUUAAUGCAGGUUUUUAUAUUUUCCCAUGUGAGAUGUCCAUUGUGAACUCAGUGUAUUCGAUGUUAUAAAUUUACUGAACAAAGUUGUCACACCAGCAUUUAUACAUGGACUGUACCUACUGCGCUGAUAGUCAGCGGUGUUACAGUUAUCUCGUUGUUCCUUGCAACGUAUCGCUGUAAGUAUUAAAUCUUAUAAUCAUGUUCAUUUUGUA